AGCACUUGUUUUGUGUUAAGUACUCGUAUGCGAUUUCUGAUCCUUGUAUUAUUACUUUUCUUACUGUCAAUUCAUAGAUGAGAGAACUCAGAGAGGUUGAGUGACUAGUUGAAGGUGAAAGAGCUAGAGAUGGAAUUUGAGCAUGACUGUCUAACUCAAGAACCCGAGCUCUUUUCACUACCUCAUGUUUCAGUGACAAAAGAACCCAUGGAAUAGAAUUCCUCAGGCAAAUGUUGAGAAUUCAAACAUGGAUGCCACCUGAAGAGAGGCCCUUUAUUUGGGGAUGGGCCAAGGAAUGGUCCUGGCAGUGCCAAAACUCUCCUGUCAAGUUUGGUUGUGUUCCAACACAUGGAUGAGUGGAAGAGCCCCAACAUUCUGCAUCGAUAGAACAGUAUGCUCUUUCUCAAGGUGUUUACAUGUAGAACAAGACUUCAAGGAGGGGAAAAUAAUGUUCGUUUGGACACUGUAGCUUUUGAUUCUGAAAUUUGGGGUUCUCAUCUAUAAAACAUGAGCAUAAAGAGUGACAAGAUGAGGUGAAAGCUGCAUUGCAAGGUGAAUGAUUUUAUGGAGAAAAGGGGAAGAGUGAAAGAAACUCUUUCGAAGCUAUCCAAUCAAUGAAAAUGGAAUAUAUUACUUAAGAGAUAUGUGAUUUGAAAUGUUGGAAAUCAGAUGAAAGUCCAGUUGGAAGAGAUGAUUUCUGAAUAGAUCCUUAAUGUUUAGAAGAAACUGUUUCUUCCUUGAUUGAGCAGAAAUAUCUUUCCUUAUUUUAUAAACUAUUAGACUAACUAUUUAUGUAACAAAAAAUUGAGUUUAUACCUCUUCCUUCCUUUACCUUCAAUGUAUAUAAAUAACUAUAGCCAUGUGACAUAGUAAAAUGUUCACAUUUUUUUUCUUUACAAUUUGCUACAAAGGAAAUGUUUGAAGGACUUAAGAUGUCCAAAGAUAAAGCCAGCUCAUCA
rnacentral:lncRNA from 1 species